CUUGUACCGAAGGAGAGCGCUGGUUAGUGGCGGACGGGUGAGUAACACGUGGGUAAUUAACCUUCCGGACUGGGAUAACAUCGGGAAACUGGUGCUAAUACCGGAUACGAUUCACGGGCGGCAUCGCCUGUGGAUGAAAAGAGGCCUCUCGAAGAAGCUCCUGCUGGAAGACAAGCCCGCGGCUGAUUAGCUAGUUGGUAAGGUAACGGCUUACCAAGGCAACGAUCAGUAGCCGGCCUGAGAGGGUGAACGGCCACACUGGGACUGAGACACGGCCCAGACUCCUACGGGAGGCAGCAGUGGGGAAUAUUGCGCAAUGGGGGAAACCCUGACGCAGCAACGCCGCGUGAAUGAAGAAGGCCUUCGGGUUGUAAAGUUCUGUCAAUUGGGAAGAAGCCCCCGGGGUCAAUAGCCUCGGGGAUGACGGUACCUAAGAAGGAAGCUCCGGCUAACUACGUGCCAGCAGCCGCGGUAAUACG
rnacentral:rRNA from 1 species